rnacentral:rRNA from 1 species
AUUGAACGCUGGCGGCAGGCUUAACACAUGCAAGUCGAACGAGUGGCGGACGGGUGAGUAAUGCUUGGGGAUCUGCCUUAUAGAGGGGGAUAACUACUGGAAACUGUGGCUAAUACCUCAUACCAUAGGAUGAACCCACAUGGGAUUAGCUAGUUGGUGAGGUAAAGGCUCACCAAGCCGACGAUCUCUAGCUGGUCUGAGAGGAGGAACAGCCACACUGGGACUGAGACACGGCCCAGACUCCUACGGGAGGCAGCAGUGGGGAAUAUUGCACAAUGGGGGCAAGCCUGAUGCAGCCAUGCCGCGUGUAUGAAGAAGGCCUUAGGGUUGUAAAGUACUUUCAGCGGGGAGGCGUUACCCACAGAAGAAGCACCGGCUAACUCCGUGCCAGCAGCCGCGGUAAUUC